rnacentral:lncRNA from 1 species
UCUUUGAAUUACACAGUUUUGUAUUUACUUGGACUGCAUGGCAACAUUCAAAAAACACUUUAACAGAUAAAAAUGACAUUUUCUAAAGCUCUAGGUUUGCUAGAUGCAUGAAGUCUCAACAAAGUAUAAAUUUGUAAAUAUUACAUUGUAAAAUAUCAUAAAUUGACUCCUUUAAGUGUUCAGUAGUACAAUAGGUAAUCAAUAAUUGGCCUCUUGGGACUGACUGUAACAUUUUGGUGUUUGUGUGUUUUGAGACAGAGCAAUAGAUUGCCUCCAUAUCUUUUAAACAUUAAGGUCUCUUGUAUAAGAAAAAUAACCAUUGUGGGGUUUUUGUGCGUCUUAUACUAAUACGAAACAAACAAAACCCCCUGGAUAUUUUAUCUUUGUUCUUUUGUUAUUUGUACUCUUUGCAAAUUUAUUUAAAUGCAUGUUCAUGUAUAUCAUAAGUAUAUAUUCACAUGCAUGUCUAAAUUUAAU